UGGGUGUUCUUCAGUUAGUUACCAGAAAGAUCCUUUCCACACCCUGAGGUGAGCUGCAUCAAAUGACAUUUUAAGCAAAUCACCCUUCCACAAUAAACAGGCCUCAGAGAGGAGCUUUCUCUCCACUUCAGACUAUGAAGUCCACAACACUUUGACGAGGCCUCCCAGACUGUACAAACAGCAGAAAAGGGAACAGCAGAAGUGCAUCCUGAGACCUGCUUUAAGCCUGGAACACAGCAGCUACAUGGUGUGCAGGAAAUGCUCUUUGGGCAGACUCUAACUGUUCUGCUAAUCACUCUUUCUCUUCAGAAAUGGCUUUGUCAAUUCAAAGGUCUCUGCUCUGCCUCUGGAACAUAUGGAUAUAAAGCUUUGGAAGGGGAGCGCUUUGUAAUGCAGUGUGAUUCCCCAUAU